UGGGGAAUAUUGCACAAUGGGCGCAAGCCUGAUGCAGCCAUGCCGCGUGUGUGAAGAAGGCCUUCGGGUUGUAAAGCACUUUCAGCGGGGAGGAAGGCGAUAAGGUUAAUAACCUUGUCGAUUGACGUUACCCGCAGAAGAAGCACCGGCUAACUCCGUGCCAGCAGCCGCGGUAAUACGGAGGGUGCAAGCGUUAAUCGGAUUUAUUGGGCGUAAAGCGAGCGCAGGCGGUUUCUUAAGUCUGAUGUGAAAGCCCCCGGCUCAACCGGGGAGGGUCAUUGGAAACUGGGAGACUUGAGUGCAGAAGAGGAGAGUGGAAUUCCAUGUGUAGCGGUGAAAUGCGUAGAUAUAUGGAGGAACACCAGUGGCGAAGGCGGCUCUCUGGUCUGUAACUGACGCUGAGGCUCGAAAGCGUGGGGAGCAAACAGG
rnacentral:rRNA from 1 species